GGCAGCGUAGCUCAGGUGGUAGAGCAGGGGACUCAUAAGCCCCGGGUCGGGGGUUCAAAUCCCUCCGCUGCCAC
rnacentral:tRNA from 1 species